rnacentral:rRNA from 1 species
UACGUAGGUGGCAAGCGUUGUCCGGAAUUACUGGGCGUAAAGGGUGCGUAGGCGGAUAUUUAAGUAGAAAGUGAAAGGUUGGAGCUCAACUCCACCAUUGCUUCCUAUACUGGGUGUCCUGAGUUUCGGAGAGGAAGAUGGAACGACACGUGGAGCGGUGAAAUGCGGUGAUAGGUGUCGGAACACCAAUAGCGAAGGCAAUCUUCUGGACGAAUACUGACGCUGAGGCACGAAAGCCAAGGUAGCGAACAGG